CCCAGCACAGUAUGCAAAUCCGAGCACCAGGAAGUAGCUGGGACCUCUCGGCCGAGCCCAGCGACAGCCAGUUCCUCUCCCACCGAGCCGGGCCUGGGAGCCUCCAGGCCGACGUUGUUUGCUGCAGGUCGGACACUGUCCUCCGAGCGGUGUGCCCGCAACCGCCGGACACGCGCGUCCUACGCCCCGGGCCCGCAGCCGCUUCCCAGGCGGGCCCCGUAGGGCCAACCCGUCGCGUGCGCAGCUUGGAACCGAAGUCACCGUGGAGUUCCGCCACCCCGAAACUUCCACCGCCAGCGACCUGGGGAAGAGUGUGACUCGCCGGAGCGAUCGAGCGGGGACGCGGGGGCGGCGACUCCGCAGGUGUCUGCAGCGGAGCGGCGCGGGGGCGUGGUGGGAGGUGCGCACCGGGCGGACGUCCCUGGGUCCCCGGCGUCAGCCAUCCGCGUGCCCGGCUCCAGCUUUCUGCUCUGCCGGGGAGCCUCAGUCCACCCCGAAGGGGAGCGCAGCAGGGAUUCGAGAGCGAGUGACUUGGAAUUCAGUAUCUGGUCCCCCGGUAGGACCCAGGGUCCCCAGGGAUGAGAAUGAGGAUUGACCCCGGCCUCUCUAAGGAUGGCUGACGGCUGCGGUCCCUGGUGACUCGGAGCAAGGUGGUGACGUCCAGCGGCUGCCACCAAGGCAGGAGCUCGAACUCCCGCGGAGCUCAGCUUCUCUCCGCCCCGCAGAGGAGCCGUCCGACGCCUUGGCCAAGAGGAAGCUGGAGUUAUUUUAAGAAUUCAGGGAUGCCUUUCCUUCGGGAUGGGGGAAGGGUGUAUGCCAUAGUUCCCAUUGGCCUGCCUUAUCUUGGCUAGCUGCGGUGGCUUUGCUGUUUGUGUAGGGCUUUUAUCCAAUAGCCCCGCUACUCUGGGCGCUUGUGGUCGUCUCUUCGUUUCGUUGAGUAAUCCGUGUUUGUGCUCAUUAUGCCAAUCCGCCCAACUUCCCAAAUUCCUCCGAAUUCAGGUGGGAAUCUAGGCCAUGCAGUCUCUCAGUUGUGUGCAACUGCGGAUUAUUGAAGUGCCUGGUUUGACUGUCCUCGUGAUUGACAAUUAACCUGCCCCGUAGGUUCUCGAACAUUCCCCGCGUUAUGUUAUGCAAAUGUUACUUGAUACAAACGACACUCUAUGAAAACAAAGGUCUUUGAUUAUCGGCAGUUUGAUGAUUUUUAGACCUGAGACCACAUGUCUGACUGAGCCACCUGACUUUUGAAAACCUGCUCAAUAAAUACCUGAAAGGUAUGCUGCCCCA
rnacentral:lncRNA from 1 species